GACGAACGCUGGCGGCGUGCUUAACACUUGCAAGUCGAACGGAAAGGCCCUGCUUUUGUGGGGUGCUCGAGUGGCGAACGGGUGAGUAACACGUGAGUAACCUGCCCUUGACUUUGGGAUAACUUCAGGAAACUGGGGCUAAUACCGGAUAGGAGCUCCUGCUGCAUGGUGGGGGUUGGAAAGUUUCGGCGGUUGGGGAUGGACUCGCGGCUUAUCAGCUUGUUGGUGGGGUAGUGGCUUACCAAGGCUUUGACGGGUAGCCGGCCUGAGAGGGUGACCGGCCACAUUGGGACUGAGAUACGGCCCAGACUCCUACGGGAGGCAGCAGUGGGGAAUAUUGCACAAUGGGCGGAAGCCUGAUGCAGCAACGCCGCGUGCGGGAUGACGGCCUUCGGGUUGUAAACCGCUUUCGCCUGUGACGAAGCGUGAGUGACGGUAAUGUGUAAAGAAGCACCGGCUAACUACGUG
rnacentral:rRNA from 1 species